AGUGAACGCUGGCGGUAGGCCUAACACAUGCAAGUCGAACGGCAGCACAGGAGAGCUUGCUCUCUGGGUGGCGAGUGGCGGACGGGUGAGGAAUACAUCGGAAUCUACUCUGUCGUGGGGGAUAACGUAGGGAAACUUACGCUAAUACCGCAUACGACCUACGGGUGAAAGCAGGGGACCUUCGGGCCUUGCGCGAUUGAAUGAGCCGAUGUCGGAUUAGCUAGUUGGCGGGGUAAAGGCCCACCAAGGCGACGAUCCGUAGCUGGUCUGAGAGGAUGAUAAGCCACACUGGACCUGAGACACGGUCCAGGCUCCUACGGGAGGCAGCAGUGGGGAAUAUUGGACAAUGGGCGCAAGCCUGAUCCAGCCAUACCGCGUGGGUGAAGAAGGCCUUCGGGUUGUAAAGCCCUUUUGUUGGGAAAGAAAUCCAGCUGGCUAAUACCCGGUUGGGAUGACGGUACCCAAAGAAUAAGCACCGGCUAACUUCGUGCCAGCCGCCGCGGUAA
rnacentral:rRNA from 1 species